rfam:Danio rerio chromosome 6, GRCz11 reference primary assembly.
GCCGGCAGCUAGCUCUCUGCAACUCUCACAUGGUUGCCCACUGAAGCUAAGCAGGGCUGUGCCCGGUCAGUACCUGGAUGGGAGACCACAUGGGAAAGCUAGGUUGCUGCCGGAA